rnacentral:tRNA from 1 species
GACUUAAAAUCGGUCGACUUUAGAAAUCGUGAG